rnacentral:rRNA from 1 species
GGACUACAGGGGUAUCUAAUCCCAUUCGCUCCCCUGGCUUUCGUUCCUCAGCGUCAGUAACGGCCCAGUAAGUCGCUUACGCCACUGGUGUUCUUCCUGAUAUCUACGCAUUUCACCGCUACACCAGGAAUUCCACUUACCUCUACCGCACUCCAGUCUGCCAGUAUCCAAUGCACUCCCAGGGUUGAGCCCUGAUCUUUAACAUCAGACUUAACAAACCGCCUACGAACUCUUUACGCCCAAUAAAUCCGGACAACGCUUGCAUCCUACGUCUUACCGCGGCGGCUGGCAC